rnacentral:rRNA from 1 species
UACGGAGGAUCCGAGCGUUAUCCGGAAUUACUGGGCGUAAAGAGUUGCGUAGGUGGCAUGUAAAGCAGAUAGUGAAAUUGUGUGGCUCAACCAUACACCCACUAUCUGAACUCACAAGCUAGAGGACGAGAGAGGUAGAUGGAAUUCCCUGUGUAGGAGUGAAAUCCGUAGAUAUAGGGAGGAACACCGAUGGCGUAAGCAGUCUACUGGCUCGUUCCUGACACUCAGGCACGAAAGCGUGGGGAGCAAACGGG